rnacentral:rRNA from 1 species
GACGAACGCUGGCGGCGUGCUUAACACAUGCAAGUCGAACGAAGAGCGAUGGAAGCUUGCUUCUAUCGAUCUUAGUGGCGAACGGGUGAGUAACGCGUAAUCAACCUGCGCUUCAGAGGGGGACAACAGUUGGAAACGACUGCUAAUACCGCAUACGAUCUAACCUCGGCAUCGAGGAAAGAUGAAAGGUGGCCUCUAUGUAUAAGCUAUCACUGAAGGAGGGGAUUGCGUCUGAUUAGCUAGUUGGAGGGGUAACGGCCCACCAAGGCGAUGAUCAGUAGCCGGUCUGAGAGGAUGAACGGCCACAUUGGGACUGAGACACGGCCCAGACUCCUACGGGAGGCAGCAGUGGGGAAUCUUCCGCAAUGGACGAAAGUCUGACGGAGCAACGCCGCGUGAGUGAUGACGGCCUUCGGGUUGUAAAGCUCUGUUAAUCGGGACGAAAGGCCUUCUUGCGAAUAGUGAGAAGGAUUGACGGUACCGGAAUAGAAAGCCACGGCUAACUACGUG